rnacentral:rRNA from 1 species
AACGAACGCUGGCGGCAUGCUUAACACAUGCAAGUCGAACGAGACCUUCGGGUCUAGUGGCGCACGGGUGCGUAACGCGUGGGAAUCUGCCCUUAGGUACGGAAUAACUCAGAGAAAUUUGUGCUAAUACCGUAUGAUGUCGAAAGACCAAAGAUUUAUCGCCUAAGGAUGAGCCCGCGUAAGAUUAGCUUGUUGGUGAGGUAAAAGCUCACCAAGGCGACGAUCUUUAGCUGGUCUGAGAGGAUGAUCAGCCACACUGGGACUGAGACACGGCCCAGACGCCGAGGGGGGGAAGCAGUGGGGAAUAUGGGACAAGGGGCGAAAGCCUGAUCAAGCAAUGCCGCGUGAGUGAUGAAGGCCUUAGGGUUGUAAAGCUCUUUUACCAGGGAUGAUAAUGACAGUACCUGGAGAAUAAGCUCCGGCUAACUCCGUGCCAGCCGCCGCAGUAA